ensembl:lncRNA
GAUUUAUAGCUUUUUUUAACAUUAAAAAAAUAGUAUAAAAUCAAAAGGUGGGUUUUUGGAAAAAAGAAGCUUUGUGUUAUGUGUGGGGCAGUUAGAUGGGUUCACCAGAUGUGUUUUGAUAUGGGUAGGUCAAAAGGUCAAGCCGCAUAAUAGAUUUAUAGCCUUUUUUAACAUUAAACAAAUAGUAUAAAAUCAAAAGGUGGGUUUUUGGAAAAAAGAAGCUUUGUGUUAUGUGUGGGGCAGUUAGCUGAGUUCACCAGAUGUGUUUUAAUAUGGGUAGGUCAAAAGGUCAAGCCGCAUAAUAGAUUUAUAGCCUUUUUUAACAUUAAACAAAUAGUAUAAAAUCAAAAGGUGGGUUUUUGGAAAAAAGAAGCUUUGUGUUAUGUGUGGGGCAGUUAGCUGAGUUCACCAGAUGUGUUUUGAUAUGGGUAAGUCAAAAGGUCAAGCCGCAUAAUAGAUUUAUAGCCUUUUUUAACAUUAAAAAAAUAGUAUAAAAUCAAAAG